UGGAUUAUAUUGAAUAAUCAGACAUAGUGCGCUAAGGUUGUAUGUCUAAAGGGAAACAGCCCAGAACAAGUGUAAAUAAGGUUCCAAAAUUAUUAUUAAGUGAAACAAAGGUAGUUAUCUCUUAAACACCCAGGAAAUUGGCUUAGAGGCGGCCAUUUUUUAAAGACCUCGUAACAGAGCACUGGUUUUUAUUUUAAAUUAGAAAUAUGUAAAAAAUUAAAUAAAUUUAUACUGGGAAAAGCACCUACGAUUCCACGGAUCUAAAUAAUAUACCGAAACCUUGUCCAUGUUUAUUUAUAUGUAUGCUUGUAUAUAUACAUACGCGCGUAUAUAUAUAAUAAAAUGGGGUAGCGGAACAUUGGGCAAACCACACUUUUUUUGUAUAAAAAAUUUUAGGUACCCCAAGUGAUAAUGCUGACAUGAGUAACGAUAAAGGGAUAAAUCCCUCGCCUAAAGCUUAUGGUAUUUAGUUAAAGUAACGGCCUCUAAGUUUAUAAAUAAAAAACUAAAGUAUUUUUCCCGAUAUACGGAUAGUAAUUAAAAGUAUUUUAGUUAACCUAAAGGAUUAAACGAUGAGCAAAUCUUUAGAAUAAAAAUAUAUAUAUAUAACAUUUUAAAAAACUUUUCUCCGUUAGACUUUCGUUAGACUUUCGUUAGACUUUCGUUAGACUUUCGUUAGAAAAGUGUAAAAGUGAAAAGUGUUCUGGAAAAUUGUAUUUUUUACCACUUUACCUAAAACGCGUGAUUUAUAUCAUUCGUGGAAGAUAAACUAAAUAGAUGAACCAAUUUAAAGUGGUUACCGUACCUAUAUACUACCACAAGUAAGCAAGUAGAG
rnacentral:rRNA from 1 species